rnacentral:sRNA from 1 species
UAAGACAUGUGCACACCUGGCUCAUCCACUCCUUCAACCCCUGUGCACUUAUUGUAGAUCGGUGGAAAGGUUGAGUCGUCAAGACUUGACUGGAAAGCCUUUCUAUGUUUUUACUACAAACGCUUCAGUUAUAGAAUGUUAAUCUUGCGUAUAACGCAUUUAUAUACAACUUUCAGCAACGGAUCUCUUGGCUCUCGCAUCGAUGAAGAACGCAGCGAAAUGCGAUAAGUAAUGUGAAUUGCAGAAUUCAGUGAAUCAUCGAAUCUUUGAACGCACCUUGCGCUCCCUGGUAUUCCGGGGAGCAUGCCUGUUUGAGUGUCAUGGAAUUCUCAACUCUUAAUACUUUUUUUGUAUUGAGAGCUUGGAUUUGGAGGCUUGUGCUGGCUGCUUCGUUCAGUCGGCUCCUCUGAAAUGCAUUAGCGUGAAUUAAUACGGAUCGCUUCAGUGUGAUAAUUAUCUGCGCUGUAGUUGUGAAGUAACUAAUAACGUUUACGCUUCUAAUCAUCCUUCACGGGACAAUUAACCCUGACUUUUGACCUCAAAUCAGGUAGGACUACCCGCUGAACUUAAGCAUAUCA